AUACGGAGGAUCCGAGCGUUAUCCGGAUUUAUUGGGUUUAAAGGGUGCGCAGGCGGCCAUUUAAGUCAGCGGUUAAAUCGUGGGGCUCAACCCCAUUCUGCCGUUGAUACUGGGUGGCUUGAUUGCGGUCGAGGUUGGCGGAAUUCGUUGUGUAGCGGUGAAAUGCAUAGAUAUGACGAAGAACACCGAUUGCGUAGGCAGCUGACCAGAUCGCAAAUGACGCUCAUGCACGAAAGUGCGGGGAUCGAACAGGAUUAGAUACCCUGGUAGUCCGCACAGUAAACGAUGAAUACUUGUUCUCGGCGAUAUAAUGUCGGAGGCAAAGCGAAAGCGAUAAGUAUUCCACCUGGGGAGUACGCCGGCAACGGUGAAACUCAAAGGAAUUGGCGGGG
rnacentral:rRNA from 1 species